CCUUUUCCUCUUUAAAAUGUUGCUGAAAUAUCGGAUUCCCCUCGGUGUACAUGAGGGAUUAAGAGCUUUUUCCUGUGCUCUUGUCACAGCUAAACCCAUGUUUCGUCAUCAUUGAAACAUGAUAUGAUUUAACAACCCUAAUUUAAUCUCUCUUAAAGGGAUCCGGGCAGUCUCCGAGAAGAAAAUAUAUCUUUCUUUAAUUUCCGCGUUUUCAUAGAGAACUAUCUUAUUCAAACUAAUCGUAAGUGCAAGUAUUAUUUUUACUGUUAAACCCAAAUCCUAGAGUUGAAAAUUAAUUGUCCUGGUUUUUAUUUGUUGCAGGAAUCCGUUUAGCUGCGAAUAGACGUGCAUAUCACGUAGCCAAGACCCAACCAUUUGAUUCUUACGAAGGCUGCAAAUUCCAGACAUGGUCGUCCCUCGCUGCCUUUGAUAAGAUUCGCGCUCUACCCUCUGCAGAGUUGCAUCCUCUUCGAGAACUCUGCUUCUCUGAGCCUUCCAUCUCUCGCCAUCGAGCCAAUAAGCUUUUUAAAAUGCUCUCCAGAGUCAAGUUGAAAUCCAGCUCUGCCUGCUUCAUUUUGCGUCCUCUUCAAAAAUGGCUGUGAUAUCUAAUACACGAUACUGGUGAAUCAGCAUUUAUUGUUUGCACUCGAGACGUGAACUUGAGUCAAAUUGUCGGAAAGUUUUUGCGAGUAUGCUGAAAGAUUGUCCUGCUUGAAGGAUACAAAUAUUGUAACGUAGAUUGUUGUUAACGGGUAAUCGUGUCAAAAUUUUACGCUCAAUUCACACUGUUCAAUCCACCCCGGUGUAACUCAACUGCAAUCAAAUUGUCCAACAGCAACUUUUUGGAAUUCUUCCGUCCCAACUGACGCCCGGUGACGUGAUUAAAUGUCAGCGCAAUUUUAGCCCUUUGGUUAACGCAAUCGUCCAACGAAAAUCCUUGCUCAAAUCAACUGUUCAUACUGCUGCUAUUCGGUCAAAUUCUCUCCUGGAAUCGCAUUUUGAUCAACCGUACCAUUUUAAGUUUUGUUAGAAGUUCACGUUAUACUCAACUUUCUUAACUUACGUACCUCUUAAUUACCAAGUUCCUUUACGUUAGCGAUAAUUUCCGCGCGUUUGUGUAUCCCUCCGUAACUUGUGUUCCUUCCGGCACCCUGUGUAAAUUUAGUGCACCGCGUGAAUUUCGCGUGUAAUCCUAGUGUAAGUUUAGUUUUUACUCCGAUUCUAGUCU
rnacentral:lncRNA from 1 species